CAAUAGCGUAUAUUAAAGUUGUUGCAGUUAAAAAGCUCGUAGUUGGAUUUCUGGUACGGAGUGAUCGGCCCAUCUCGCAAGAGAUGUUGUGCAUGUGUUGCUUGUGCCAUCUUUGGGGGGAAUGCAUCUGUUCUUCAUUGAGCGGGUGUGGGAACCUCAUCAUUUACUGUGAGCAAAUUAGAGUGUUCAAAGCAGGCUUAUGCCGUUGAAUACAUUAGCAUGGAAUAAUAAGAUAGGACCUUAGGCGGUCUAUUUUGUUGGUUUGCACGCCUAGGUAAUGAUUAAUAGGGAUAGUUGGGGGUAUUCGUAUUCCGUUGUCAGAGGUGAAAUUCUUGGAUUUACGGAAGACGAACUACUGCGAAAGCAUUUACCAAGGAUGUUUUCAUUAA
rnacentral:rRNA from 1 species